UCGACGCAUUCUUCGGAAUGAGUGGCGCACGGCUGAGGAACACGUGACUAACCUACCCCGGUGUGGGGGAUAACGGGUCGAAAGACUCGCUAAUCCCGCAUACGAUCCGCCUCGGCGGAGGAAAGCCGUAAGGCGCACUGGGCGGGGGUCGCGUCCCAUUAGAUAGUUGGUGUGGUAAUGGCGCACCAAGUCGAUGAUGGGUCUCUGGUCUGAGAGGACGACCAGACAGAUUGGGACUGAGACACGGCCCAAACUCCUACGGGGGGCAGCAGCAAGGAAUUUUCGGCAAUGGGCGCAAGCCUGACCGAGCAACGCCGCGUGGAGGAUGACGGCUCUUGGGUUGUAAACUCCUUUUGGGGGGGACGAUAAUGACGGUACCCUCCGAAUCAGGCCCGGCUAACUACGUGCCAGCAGCCGCGGUAAUACGUAGGGGCCAAGCGUUGUCCGGAAUUACUGGGCGUAAAGCGUGGGUAGGUGGUCGGUGAUGUGCCGCGUGAAAGCGCCGGAGUAAUGCCGGCGAGGUCGCGGUAGACACACGGACUCGAGGCUCGCAGAGGAACGUGGAAUUCCCGGUGUAGUGGUGAAAUGCGUAGAUAUCGGGAGGAACACCAGUGGCGCAAGCGGCGUUCUGGGCGAGACCUGACACUGAGCCACGACGGCGUGGGGAGCAAACAGGAUUAGAUACCCUGGUAGUCCACGCAGUAAACGAUGCAUACCAGGUGUGGGAUGGCGUUCGCGUCGUUCCGUGCCGCAGCUUACGCGAUGAGUAUGCCGCCUGGGGACUACGAGCGCAAGCUUAAAACUCAAAGGAAUUGACGGGGGCC
rnacentral:rRNA from 1 species